CUUGAACUCAUGAUACCGAAAAAGACCUUCUCCAUGGUAUGCAAAACAAAUUUCUUCGUUCUGAUGUAGAUCAAAUACCUCCCUCAUCUCAUUCCAUCCAUCCAUCCAUAAGAAGAGGAUGAUUUUGGUCUUUGUUGAAUGUCACAAGAUGGUGUUUAUAUCGAUAAUCCAUGAUUCUUCAUUUUGCAGGAAGUUCUUCGCCGAACUCAAGAACAAAAGCUGGAUCCACCUCUCCAAAUCUCUGAUUCAAAUUUAACCAUUCAAUUGAUAAAUUAGUUUAAACAGAUAUGAAUAUAUUGUCAUUCAACAUUAUUAGAGAAUCAAAUCAAAUUUUCAUAAAUAAAACAGAGUAUAUUGAUUUACCUGACUAGUGAAAAACAUGGUUGUAAAAGUACCGAUUGGUGUGAGAUCGAUGUAAUCACUGUAGUAAGUCUCCAUGAAGAUGAGAAAUGUUGCUACCAAACUCUGUUUUACACAAAUGAAAUAA
rnacentral:lncRNA from 1 species